rnacentral:rRNA from 1 species
UACGAAGGGGGCUAGCGUUGCUCGGAAUUACUGGGCGUAAAGCGCACGUAGGCGGCUUUCUAAGUCGGGGGUGAAAUCCUGGAGCUCAACUCCAGAACUGCCUUCGAUACUGGAGAGCUCGAGUCCGGGAGAGGUGAGUGGAACUGCGAGUGUAGAGGUGAAAUUCGUAGAUAUUCGCAAGAACACCAGUGGCGAAGGCGGCUCACUGGCCCGUUACUGACGCUGAGGCACGAAAGCGUGGGGAGCAAACAGGG